UUUGAACACAUUUUUUUAUUCACAACAUUGUUCCUAUCCUUACCAUUAUUAGAUUCCCCACCCAAAAAUACAACCUCAACAAUCACUGUUGUAUGCUUCCCAAAAGCACCACAUUUACAACCAUAUCAGCAUCUAUUUACAACCACAAUUUUUUCAGAGAGCAUCAACAAAUCUGUGGCCAUUUCUCAGCCGGCCAAGACGCCUAAUCGGUGUGCCCCACUUGACAUUUCCUUUGUUUUGACACCAGACACAACCCUGACGCUAGCAUAUGUAUUGGCGUUAUAUCCCAGACACACCUUUAAUAUGAAGUGUCAAUACUACGUAGUUACUUCUCGGUUGUAG